GCCGAUGUAGCUCAGUUGGUAGAGCAAUUGCUUCGUAAGCAAUGGGGCAGGGGUUCAAGUCCUCUCAUCGGCU
rnacentral:tRNA from 1 species